GCUUACUGCCACACCGCCUGGUUCACGCCUGAUCUCGGAAGCUAAGAUAGGUUGGGCCUGGUUAGUACUUGGAUGGGAGACCGCCUGGGAAUACCAGGUGCUGCAAGCU
rnacentral:rRNA from 1 species